rnacentral:lncRNA from 1 species
GUAAUUUCUGUGUUAAGCACUGUAAUGAAUUAUCCAAUGGGAGGAAGCCUGGGGUGGCCUGAAAGAUCCCAGCCUCCUGGGAUGACAGAGUAAGCAGGACCUGCAACUUAUUUCUUCAACAAGGUGACACGAUGUCACUUCCAUGAUUUGGUUACAAAAGACUGUGACUUCUGCCUUGCCGGCUGAUUAUUUAUAUUGCCUUCUUGUCUUCUGGGUUUUGGUGAAGCAGGUUGCUAUGUGGGAGACACUCCCGUGGCAGGGAACUGAAGCAGCCUCCAGCCAAGAACCAGCCAAGAACUGAGGCCUGCAGCCUAUCAGCCCUCUAGGAACUGAGUCCUGCCAACAAGUGCAGGAGCUUGGAAGCAGAUCCUUCCCCAGUCGAGCCUUCAGGUGCCAUCCCAGCCUAAGCUGAUACUUGUAUUGCAACCUGUGAGAGCCACUGAAGCACAGGAUUCAGCUAAGUUGUGCCCAGAUUUCUGCCCCACAGAAACUGUGAGGUAAUAAAUAUGUGUUGUUUUAAG